UACGUAGGGUGCAAGCGUUGUUCGGAUUUACUGGGCGUAAAGGGCGGGUAGGCGGCCACCGCAAGUCAGUUGUGAAAUCUCCGGGCUUAACCCGGAAAGGUCAACUGAUACUGCGGGGCUAGAGUGCAGAAGGGGCAACUGGAAUUCUCGGGUGUAGCGGUGAAAUGCGUAGAUAUCGAGAGGAACACCUGCGGCGAAGGCGGGUUGCUGGGCUGACACUGACGCUGAACUGCGAAAGCUAGGGGAGCGAACGGGG
rnacentral:rRNA from 1 species